UGGUUCAAUCAGUCGAUCAAGUUAAUCAAUUUGUAUUUAAUUUUGUAUUGAUCGAUGCUCAAAUAAACAUUCACUACUAUCGAAUUAAACAGAAAGGGUUGACUCGUUGGAGAACGUUGAAUGAAAUGCUGACAGAGCUGUUUAUAAAACAGCGAAACUUAAUAUCGAUUUCGAAAGAUGCUGGUGUAAAAAAGAAAUAAUUCUCAACAACGAUGCUUAACGAACGUAAGAAUUACAGGAGCGAGGUUUUUUGAGGAAUAAUUAACCUACAACGCCCGCGUAGGUCUCAUUAAAAACAACAGGCAAGACUUGGCAGACAGGUAUCUGUUUUAACGUGCAAAAGCCUUCGUUGCUUUUCUUUACUUUAUUUUUCAGUUUUUCUUAUUCUUACGCAUGGCGAGCGAUUAAGGAAAGCUCGUAUUGUAACGGAGUGAGCAAAAAUAACCUGAAUCAUUGACUGGGAUAGUGGAAAUGGACGAAAAAGGAUUUCAAAGAAAUGCUAAUAGCUAACGUUUUAGGAAAGGAAAAAUCUCAAGACGAAAAAUGGACAGUUUCAAUCAUUAUUGAACCGUGAAACAUGGUGAUAAAAUCACAGAUGAAAUUACAGAGGAAAAAAAAGAGGUUUAAGGGGUUAGGCCACUCUAAAGCAAGAAAAAUGAUUCAAGUCAAAAUAUGGGCUCUGCAGCAUUUCUUCGAUGAAGCCUUUUUUUUGAAGAGCUAAAUGGCCGGACCAGCAGCUCCUGCAGUUUUUAACUUAGGAUAUAAAAACCAAAAUAUUUUCGAUUAUAUAUGAGAACAGCUACCGAACCACGUAGGAUUUUUUUGAUAUAUUGAUUUUUGCAAAAAUGGCGUAUGUUUUAAGAGAAAAUGUAAAAUUUCAGGAAAAAAUCGUCAGAAAAUUAUUUA